ACGAAAUUUCUGUCUGAUCAUUGGGCAACACGCGUUUCUCUGUAUUUGUGUUCUGUGCCUUUUGACAGGUUUGACGCUGAUUCUGAAGUGAAGUUGACAGCAAGAUAAUUCUAACCUCUAACAUAUUUUUUGACACAAUUUAUAUAUAAACAUGAAAGAGUACUAACCUACUAACGUUUCUACCUUUUUUUAAAUAUUAAACGUCUUUUUACAUUAAGUGGUGUGUUAUUUGUAGUCUUGAAAGUUCCAAAAUGUUGUUUGUAAAAAUGUUUUUCCCACUAUGUGGAACUCCUGUGCGUAACUGACAAGUGAGGACAUUUAAAAAUAAAAAAAUAUAUAUAACUUAUUUUAGCACUGAUGAUGGCUGUAUCGCCAAAAGCGCUUUGCUAAGGGUACCAGUUUAAUAAUGCUGAUAUUCAAUGGCAGAAUCUUCCAACAUUAGAAAAAGCUGUUUUACAAAUCUAGAAGAUGAGGAAAUAAAGGAAAAUUACGAGUCUGAUGAAGCAUGUGACUGUCUAGAAAUUGACAACGAAGUACAGGUUUAAAUCUUGCACAAGCAUUUUAAUAUGUAUGUAAUUAAUUUUGUAUACAUGAUUAGUUUGUGACCUUAAGUAUUUUAACUUGUAUUUUUAUUUUUUGAAUAUUGUACUUUUUUAGAAUUUUGUGAAUUAUUAAAUAAAGAAAUUUACUUAUA